rnacentral:rRNA from 1 species
GGGGUGUUAGGGCACGACACCGGAGAGGGAGCCUGAGAAACGGCUACCACAUCCAAGGAAGGCAGCAGGCGCGCAAAUUACCCAAUCCCGACACGGGGAGGUAGUGACAAUAAAUAACAAUACAAGGUUCUUUUGGAUCUUGUAAUUGGAAUGAGUACAAUUUAAAUCUCUUAACGAGGAACAAUUGGAGGGCAAGUCUGGUGCCAGCAGCCGCGGUAAUUCCAGCUCCAAUAGCGUAUAUUAAAGUUGUUGCAGUUAAAAAGCUCGUAGUUGAAUUUCGGGAUCAAUGUUUCGGUCAUGCCGUUGGUAUGUACUGAUAUUAUUGGUUUCUCACCUUCUAAAGAACCGUAAUGCCAUUAAUUUGGUGUCACGGGGAAUUAGGACUGUUACCUUGAAAAAAUUAGAGUGUUUAAAGCAGGCUCACGCUUGAAUACAUUAGCAUGGAAUAAUGAAAUAGGACAUCCGAUUCUAUUUUGUUGGUUUCUAGGAUCGAUGUAAUGAUUAAUAGGGAUAGUUGGGGGCAUUAGUAUUCAAUUGUCAGAGGUGAAAUUCUUGGAUUUAUUGAAGACUAACUACUGCGAAAGCAUUUGCCAAGGAUGUUUUCAUUAAUCAAGAACGAAAGUUAGGGGAUCGAAGACGAUCAGAUACCGUCGUAGUCUUAACCAUAAACUAUGCCGACUAGGGAUCGGAUGAUGUAAU